rnacentral:lncRNA from 1 species
CCUUUAUUCUAAAUCUUCUUCUUUCAAUCAUCUUUUAAGUUUUGUAAUAUGUUACUUUGAUAUUCAUUUCUUGAGUUGAAGGUCCAUCGUCCUCUCAACAAUUAUGUCUGCAAGAGAGGUUAUCGAUUGUAUCUUGAGGCAGAAUUCUCAAGUCUGAUUCCGUUCGAGGAUCGUGAAUCACCAUAGAAUAGUACACUGC